rnacentral:rRNA from 1 species
GGUAUGAGAGGGGUCUGCGUCCUAUCAGCUUGUUGGUAAGGUAAUGGCUUACCAAGGCUAAGACGGGUAGGGGGCGUGAGAGCGCGGUCCCCCACAGUGGCACUGAAACACGGGCCACACUCCUACGGGAGGCAGCAAUUAGGAAUCUUUCGCAAUGGGGGAAACCCUGACGAAGCGACGCCGCGUGAAGGAAGACGGCCUACGGGUUGUAAACUUCUUUUAUUAGGGAGCAGGAAGGAUAGUACCUAAUGAAUAAGCACCUGCUAACUGCGUGCCAGAAGCCUCGGUGAUGCGUAGGGUGCAAGCGUUGUCCGGAUUUAUUGGGCGUAAAGUGACUGUAGGCGGUCAAGGAAGUUUUGUUUCAAAGACUCAGGCUUAACUUGAGGAAGGGACAAAAAACCACUUGACUUGAGGAAGGUAGAGGAAUACGGAAUGUGUGGUGGAGCGGUAGAAUGCGUUGAUAUCACACAGAACGCCAAAAGCGAAGGCAGUAUUCUGGACCUUUCCUGACGCUCAGAGUCGAAAGCCAGGGUAGCGAAACGGAUUAGAUACCCGUGUAGUCCUGGCC